rnacentral:rRNA from 1 species
AUUGAACGCUGGCGGCAGGCCUAACACAUGCAAGUCGAACGAGUGGCGGACGGGUGUGUAAUGUCUGGGAAACUGCCAGAUGGAGGGGGAUAACUACUGGACACGGUAGCUAAUACCGCAUACCAUCGGAUGUGCCCAGAUGGGAUUAGCUAGUAGGUGGGGUAACGGCUCAUAUAGGCGACGAUCCCUAGCGGGUCUGAGAGGAUGACCAGCCACACUGGAACUGAGACACGGUCCAGACUCCUACGGGAGGCAGCAGUGGGGAAUAUUGCACAAUGGGCGCAAGCCUGAUGCAGCCAUGCCGCGUGUAUGAAGAAGGCCUUCGGGUUGUAAAGUACUUUCAGCGGGGAGGCGUUACUCGCAGAAGAAGCACCGGCUAACUCCGUGCCAGCAGCCGCGGUAAUAC